GAUGAAGAACGUAGCGAAAUGCGAUAAGUAAUGUGAAUUGCAGGAUUCAGUGAAUCAUCGAAUCUUUGAACGCACAUUGCGCCCCCCGGCAUUCCGGGGAGCAUGCCUGUUCGAGCGUCUCUUGGAAUACCCCCCACGCCGGCGGAGGCGUGGUCAUGGCGGCGGUGGCGUGCCCCGAGAGGGAGGCCACCGCGCUGGAAUCCAUGGGCGGACGCCUGCCGCGUGGCCGAGCGUGAUAAGACGCACUGGCGCUCGCGCGCGGCGAGGCUGCCGGCCCUGGCCCGCUCGUCGGGCGGGGACAGCAACACUUGGGAACUCCUCGAAUCAGGUAGGGAUACCCGCUGAACUUAAGCAUAUCAAUAAGCGGAGGA
rnacentral:misc_RNA from 1 species